rnacentral:lncRNA from 1 species
AUGUUUUGGUUGCUUCCAGGAAGAUUUUAUUUGCUGACCCAGGGGGCAUAUAAGGAGUCCCACCACUACGUUACCACCCUGACAUCUAGCACAAAACACAGUAAUAGCCAUUUACAGCGCUCGUUGCCUCUUCCAUUCUCUGAACCAGCAUCUAUGGACCAUGAGACAUUAUUUUCAGCAACUCAACUUCCUGCAGUCACCUGAAUCCAUGAAAAACCUUUUCUAAGCAGGAUUUUUCAGAAUCUGAAGGUUGGCAACCAGGGAUGGAGAGGGACCCUGAAACCCAGCUUGAGAUGAGGAUUAAGACAAGUGGAGCUGUGGGAGCAGGCUUUCUGUGGGAGGCCCGACUGGGUGUCUGUAGAGUCACCCUCAUCUGCCAGGAUUAAUACCAACAGGGGAGAGCAACCAAGAUAAGACAGCCCAGAGCUCUAGCUCCAUGGCAGGACAAGUGCUGCCCUGGGAAUGAAGGAAGCAAGCUCUCCGUAUGGAAAGAGAGCAGCUGAGAUGUGUGUCGCCAUGAAGCUAGUUGCUGCAUGGACAUAUGCCAGCACAUGUGGCAUUUAAGAACCUGCACUGCUAUGGUGCCACUCUCCUGCCCAGCUCAGACCCUGGCCUCACAUUACCAGUUGUGUGUGUGGGCAAGUUACUUCAUCUCUCCAAAACAGGGGUUGUGAGGGUUAAAUAAGAAAUAUUUGUCCCAUUCCCCCAAAAAGGAUCUUGGAAGUUCUGUAGUGCAUAGAAAUGAAACCUUUCUCCAAGAGCUGGCCUGCUCCAAGG